rnacentral:rRNA from 1 species
CGGAUUGCAGUCUGCAACUCGACUGCAUGAAGCUGGAAUCGCUAGUAAUCGCGAAUCAGCAUGUCGCGGUGAAUACGUUCCCGGGUCUUGUACACACCGCCCGUCACACCAUGGGAGUCGGAAAUGCCCGAAGCCAGUGACCCAACCUUUAAGGAGGGAGCUGUCGAAGGCAGGUCUGGUAACUGGGGUGAAGUCGUAACAAGGUACC